rnacentral:rRNA from 1 species
GAACUGCAUUCGAAACUGGCAGGCUUGAGUCUUGUAGAGGGGGGUAGAAUUCCAGGUGUAGCGGUGAAAUGCGUAGAGAUCUGGAGGAAUACCGGUGGCGAAGGCGGCCCCCUGGACAAAGACUGACGCUCAGGUGCGAAAGCGUGGGGAGCAAACAGGAUUAGAUACCCUGGUAGUCCACGCCGUAAACGAUGUCUACUUGGAGGUUGUGCCCUUGAGGCGUGGCUUCCGGAGCUAACGCGUUAAGUAGACCGCCUGGGGAGUACGGCCGCAAGGUUAAAACUCAAAUGAAUUGACGGGGGCCCGCACAAGCGGUGGAGCAUGUGGUUUAAUUCGAUGCAACGCGAAGAACCUUAC